rnacentral:misc_RNA from 1 species
GGGAGGGUGCCUAUGAGGCAUUCCUUUCACUGGUCAGCAGAGAAGCUGUAUUUUGAGGAGGAGCCUUUACUACGUCAUCUAGAGCCUCCUCUAUCCAUUUACCUUGAAUUGGAAAAACUUAAGGUCUAUGAUAAUAUAAAGUAUACUCCAUCCCGAGACCGUCAGUGGCACCUCUAUACUGCUGUAGACAAGCAGAGUCCAAUCCAGAGGAUGUUUCUAAGAACACUUGUUAGACAAUCAACAUCAGAUGACAGUUUACUAGCGUAUCAGGGAUUGAAUCAGGGAACAACUCAUUCCCCUCUGGCUUUGUCUCUCACCUCAAGAAGCAUUUUGAGGUCCUUAACAUCGGCACUGGAAGAGCUUGAACUUAAUCUCCAUAAUACAACUCUCAAAGUUGACCAUGCUCAUAUGUACUUGUAUAUUUUACGAGAGCAAGAGAUAGCUGAUCUGUUACCAUACCAUAAGAAGGCAGACCUAAAUAAUGAGCACAAAGAGG